GGAGCCACACGUCGCGUUGGGCCGGUGCUCCACGACGUCACUGCCGACCGCUGCUGGGUCGCGUGCGGACGAACAAUCAGCCGCCUCUACCGUCGGCAUCAGUGCCGUCGGAGGCAGCGCUGGAAGACGUCGAUCCGCCAAGCGCCGGGAGGAUUCACCACACAGUGGCAGUGCGCUGCCGUCGCGCUUGGAAUGGACGAGCCGCUGGGGCCACGACGGAGGUUAUGGCCGCGCUGGCGUUGCCUGGCAGAGAGCCGGCCUUAGGCCGUUGCCGCCACAGGAGGGGGCGUGGUCGCAGACGCUGUCGUGACACGUGAGCCUUGCUGUCAUACGCGCUCGCAUGAAGGGCUUCAUGGCGCAUCGGCCGUUGGCCGAGGGCCCUGCCGCGCCUUAGUUCCGAUGGGACCGCGUCCUCGGACGUCGCCGGGACGCCAUGAGCUGGGCAAGCCAGCCUUCGUUACGUUAGGUUGCCGCCCUGAUUGAGUAAGGCAAGUCUGUAGUGCUCAUUUCAAGCAAUCGAUGCAUAUACAAACCGAAUGAUGAUUGAUGCAUGUUGAUCGAUUCUCCUGUAUAGGAGCAUGCAUCUUAUGCCAGCGCCUGACGUGGUCACUGCAUUCAGCGCUGAUGAUGGCCGGGAGCAGUUUCCGUGUUCUUGCCGGUGAGAAGGACGAGGCAUCCACCACAGGAGAGAGCGUCACAGCCGUCGCCCUGCAUGGCAUGGCUCCGAUGCAGACUUUAUCUUUCUCUCACUUCUUGUCCAACGAACCAUCGGCGGUGUUGUGUGUCCAUGGCCCUUUCGCUCUUGUUUAGAGACUAGCGUGGCUGAUAACGUAUUGGAGUAAAACGAGAUUGAAUGAAUGUAAUGAACGAUCAGUCAUGAUUUCUGUUGAUUUUCAAGUAUAUAUACAUCUGGAAGAGGUGCGAAGAAGAGGUGUCUGUUCGGAAACAUUCCUCCAGAACAGAUGUUUGUUGGCAAUAGAGAGAGAAGACACGACUGUUCAGG
rnacentral:lncRNA from 1 species